rnacentral:rRNA from 1 species
GACGCACGCUGGCGGCGUGCUUAACACCUGCAAGUCGAGCGGCGCGGCGAACGGGUGAGUAACGCGUGAGUAACUGCCCCCCUCUCUGGGAUACCCGUUGGAAACGGCUGCUAAUACCGGAUAGUGGUGACUGACUCGCGGACUAUCAGCUUGUUGGUGGGGUAGUGGCCUACCAAGGCGACGACGGGUAUCCGGCCUGAGAGGGCGACCGGCCACAUUGGGCUGAUAAACGGCCCAAACUCCUACGGGAGGCAGCAGUGGGGAAUAUUGCACGAGGGGGGAAACCCUGAUGCAGCAACGCCGCGUGCGGGAUGACGGCCUUCGGGUUGUAAACCGCUUUCAGCCAUGACGCGGUAGUGGCAGAAGAAGCACCGGCUAACUACGGGCCAGCAGCCGCGGUAAUAC